rnacentral:misc_RNA from 1 species
GAUGAAGAACGUAGCGAAAUGCGAUAAGUAAUGUGAAUUGCAGAAUUCCGUGAAUCAUCGAAUUUUUGAACGCAUAUUGCGCCCUCUGGUAUUCCGGAGGGCAUGCCUGUCCGAGCGUCAUUAUAACCCCUCAAGCUCAGCUUGGUGUUGGGGCCUGCUGCACUGGCAGCCCUUAAAAUCAGUGGCGGCGCCAUCUGGCUCUAAGCGUAGUAAUUCUUCUCGCUAUGGAGUCCUGGUGGAUGCUUGCCAUCAACCCCCAAUUUUUCUAUGGUUGACCUCGGAUCAGGUAAGGAUACCCGCUGAACUUAAGCAUAUCAAUAAGCGGAGGA